UGCGGAUGUCACCAAAACCCCAGAUGCGCAGAAUUGGUGACUAACCCCUGAACCCCUUGGCUUCAUAUGCAACUGUGCUGGAUGGGGACCAGCUCAAGGAGAAGGAGACGGCCGCUGAAGGAACUAGAGAGAACCUGGAGGAGAAAGCCCUAAUGAGGGAAAACCCAGGAAGCAGAAUUCCAGCAAUACCUUAAGGCCAGGGAAUUCUUGUGUAAACUGGAAAUUUUCCAGUCUGUGAGCCCUGUGCCAGGCCCUCCCAUAAAUCAUAGCAAGGAGGCUGUCGGCUUGGCGGAGGCGGAGGGGCCGCCGGGGAGAGCAGCGAAGCCCGGGGAAGGAGCCGGCAGGCGGCCGCGGGGGAGGACCCCGAGGAGCACCGCGUUCUCAGCACCUCCUCCCUGAGCCUCCACAAAGCGCUGGGAAAAGAAAAAGGAAAAGAAGGAGCAGCCGCGACCACAGGGCUUUCUGCCAGCAAGUCUGCAAACACCCCCAGCCCCCCACACCCCUAACCUGGGAGAGGCCCCCGAAACAGGUCAUUUUUAAAUUGAAUACGAUAUUAAUUACCGCGUGCACCAUUAACGGUUUGUGGGAUUUGACUAAUUAAUGUAAUAGUUUUUGAGUCACGC
rnacentral:lncRNA from 1 species